rnacentral:ncRNA from 1 species
UCAACAAGCGAGCGCCGAGCUUCGGUACCUAAAGGGGGAUUGCCCCUACGGACUGGAAGCCGCAGUCAGAGAAUGCAUAACUGGCUGCCAGGGCUGUAGAAGAAAUUCUGCUGCCUCCCGCGAUUGGAAAGGUGUUCUAUGCAACCAUUG